UAGGGGGCACGCCCCAACCCUAGGCCACCUACUCCCUCUCUCUCUCUCUCUUGAUCUAAAGAUACUAAGGGUUGGAAAAUUAGAGUUAAGCCUAAAUUAGUUUUGGGGUUAGGGUUUUUUUAGAGAUUUAAGGGUGCUUACUCAGUUUGACUGAAAUUGGCGUUUCCAGUUCGAGAUUGAAGCUAGACCACUAAUCUCGCACCAUCUGAUAUCCGUGACUCGGUGUGGGGUGUAAUAAGCCCGGUUGAGGUUCUCAAGAUGAAUUACCCCAGUCAUUUGAUUGAUCCCUUCUCAUGAGCACUUCCAACUUAUGUUCAACCAGAGAUGCUUCUUUUGGAGUUCAUGGACAAGAAAUGCACUAGAACCCAUACUCAAAUCAAUGAUCAUGUCAGAAGAUGCACCCUUCCCUGGAGGUCCUGAGAUUCUUAUAUUGUUCACUAGACAAAGAGAACAUAUAUCACAUAAGCUUUGGGAAGAGAUGAUUGGGAAAAUACCCUCAUAAUUGAUGAGAAGCCCAAUGCAAAUUCUUCAUGACCGUUAACGAACAACGAUCAAAUUGAUUUGGUCAGAAGAUCAGGAUUGUAUCACCUGACCAUAGUGUUGAUGAGUCAGCAUGACCGUGGCACAUCAUCUACAAUUAUCGAGAAGUGGCGCGUAGAGACGAACACGGGGCACUUCAAUGUAGACAUCAGAGAGAUGAUGCCUACACUUGAAGAUACAUGAAAAAUUCUUCGGUUAAAGGUGACUGGUGUAGUUGUAAUCGUGAAGAGUGGAGAACUACGAGGAUCAUAUAGUCUGUAUGAUAUGACAGCUGCCACCUAGUCGUAGUCAUUCCAGUAUCCAAUUGACAUGGUUGAGGAACACGUUUAAGCGGCUACCAUAAAACCAUAACCACGCUACUCUUCUACGAUACACUCGUGCCUACCUCUUAUAUCUAGUUGGGUGCACAAUAUUUACGGAUUUCACUUAUGGUACCGGUUCCUACCAUCCAUUAACAACUUUUUGAGGAUAUCGAUGUAGUUGGUCAGUAUGCAUGGGGUGCAACUGUGUUAGCGUUUUUGUUUCGAGCCUUGUCUAAGGUUGUUCAUGCUGAUCAUCAACACCUAAGUGGAUCGGCAACUCUCUUGCUAAUAGUGGUAGUAUCUUAGUGUUUUGAUAUUUUUUUUAAAGUUCGAUAGAUAUUUGUUGUGAUUCUUAUUUUUUUAUAUAUGUAAUCUAGUGUUGGGCGUAUGAGCAUUUUCAAUUGUUGUACCUAAUUCCAAAAAAAAUAAGUACAGGGCAAACUAGAUCCCUCAGGUGGGCCCCUCCUAAAGAAUGAGAUAACACUCACAACUUUGGUCUCGUGGGGCGACAGGAGCUUGAUAACGGGCGAAUAAAUGAUGUCAUAUGGACCUCAUACGAUGAUUAUCUUAAAACAGGAGAGAAAACUGCAGAGGACAAAGAUUAUGGGUUUCGUGUCUAUCAGACUGUUUUGUGUGGCACAUACCUCAUAUGUAGACACAUCUAUGAGGAGUAUAUGCCAGAUCUUGUGCUACGGCAGUUUGGACUUCACCAAAUGAAACCUGCAGAUCCCUUGCAAUAGGAGAGGAGGGAGAGAAUGGGGAAGAUCUUUGACAACUAGGGAGAUGAGCUAAGAGAUAAAAUAGAUAUGUGGACGCAUCGCUUAGAUUAUAUUGUUAGGCAGAUGAAUAUAUGUUCAAUGGGAAGCCGACACGAUAAUACAUUGAGUGGUACAAGCUAAUGACUAGACCCCUAAUCCAUAAUCCAUUUAGAAAACAUCCAUCCAAAUACACAUCUCGAGGUUAUAAUGCUGAAGAUAGAAUGCCUAAGGACAUCAGUCAUGCAACUCAACUUUUAUUGCAAUUCAAGAAAUUUAAACCUAAUUGGGGAAGCAUUAGACGUGCUUAAAAUGUAUGACCCAAAAGUUGCAGGGGAAUUUUGAUGAUGAGCUGGAUGAUAACGUGCCAGUAUGACAUCCUUCUCGACCAGAUAAGGGGCCAAGUAAUACAAAACCCAUCCCCACACCGAUUCAACUAGAGGAGCCCAGAUGGGAGUUGUGUCAUCGUGUUGCAAAACGGGAGCAGAGCAGCUCUGAUACAGAGUUGCAGUUACCACAGUGGGCUGAGAAGCUACCAGUAUGACAAAAGCAUUCAUGAUGUGUACUUGGCUGGAUGCAUGGUUGAAUGCAUAAUUGUAAAUAAGCCAGUAGUGGUGUUUAAACUAUGUAAAGAGGCCAUUAGUGCCUAUAUAGUUUUAUGUA